rnacentral:misc_RNA from 1 species
UAGUACUUCAAAAAACACUCACUACUGUUUGUAAUGGAGUCCUUUCAUGGAGUUUUAGAAAACAGACUGUACAGUCAGAUAUCUUGGAGGCAGUGGGUGUUUAUUGUUACGAUCGGACUACUUCUGGUGUUAGGGGUGGCAAUAUUGAUAUCUUCUGUGACUUUUCUCCAUGCUUCGAACAAUGAUGUGCCCGACAAAUGUGCCGGUCCAUGGAAACAAAGCUUACAAGAAUCAAGCCAAGGAGAGUUAGAGACUAACCCAACGACAUCCGCCUAUGUCGAGACCUUGUUUGGCGACUCGUGUUCUGGAGACGAUAGUUGCCCCGAGAACUCGGUGUGUGAAUCAGGACAAUGCUCCUGUAAUCUGACGUACAUUGCACACAGUGGGAAAUGCUACAAAGGUUUGUGGAAUUGCAUAAAUUUGUUAAAAAAGGAAUACAUUAGAAAAACGUGUCAUCUCUAGUUUUUCAGAUUAUUUCUGCAUAUUAGAAUUGACAUAUUCGUUUAAUUAUUACAGUGGAAAAAUAAAAUUGUUACGUCUCACCUUCUGUAUUUGCAUUUAAUAUCAUUACAACGUACGCUAAUAAUACAAUGCGUGUACAGAUGUUGUCAGUUUUCUCCUAACAGUUUUAAACUUGGCCCUCGGAAAGGCAGUGUUUGGGAGCUCAACCAUGCCAGGUCGCAAGGCAACCGAAGGCUGGGAAAACGCGGUGGACGGACGCACCAAAGUUCGAGACUUCAAUCUUAUCUUCCACACAGGUUUCGAGCUCUACCCCUGGUUAUCCAUUGCUUUGGGAGGAGUGGGUCUAGUCAAGAACAUCACCCUGUAUAAUCGAAUUGAUAAUUACGGUCGUUGGCUUCAUGACGUUGAAACAAGAGUCGGAAACUCCUCGGAUUGGUCAAAAUUGUCAACCUGCGGGACAUUUGUGGGCCCCAGUAAAACGGGUCAGAUUCACACAAUUGAGUGCGGGACACUCCUGGCUGGAACAAUUGUGACAGCAAAAAUAGUCAAACCUAACUAUAUAAAAGACGACCCGGCAGCCCGGGGCGGGAGAAAUUCCCUCGUUCUGGAAGAAGUUGUCGUCGAAGGAAUCUUUCUUUGAUAAUUACUUAUCCAACCACGUGAGGGAAUAUACUACUGUUUGAGUAGGAUGUGUAUUGAAUAUUACUCACGGUUGUUGUUGACGUACAAAAUGGUUCAUCAUGGCUGGUAUUGUGAAUUAUUUUCAGCAGGGAAGGAACAUGUAUCCUUUAUAACCGAAUACUUCACACACUUUAACAAUUAAACAAUUUUGCUCCAUAUGUCUAUAUCCUACCCUAACGUUUCAAUGAAGUGGACGAAUUGUGUAAACUAUCGCAAUGGAAAUCAGUACGUUUCUUUUUUUUUUAAGAGCCAUAUUUGAUGAUUUUGAUCUUUGGCAUAUCGCCAUAUUUGGCCAUAUAAUGUUGUCAGUAAAUGACUGGUUUUGACCAGUUUCAACCAUGCAGAUUUACAGUACCCAGUUAAACACCAUCAUGGCUUA